rnacentral:rRNA from 1 species
UACGAAGGGGGCUAGCGUUGCUCGGAAUCACUGGGCGUAAAGCGCACGUAGGCGGAUCCUUAAGUCGGGGGUGAAAUCCUGGAGCUCAACUCCAGAACUGCCUUCGAUACUGGCAGGCUUGAAUCCGGGAGAGGGAUGCGGAAUUCCAGGUGUAGCGGUGAAAUGCGUAGAUAUCUGGAGGAACACCGGUGGCGAAGGCGGCCUGCUGGGCAGUAGCUGACACUGAGGCGCGACAGCGUGGGGAGCAAACAGG